GCUCACCGUACCACCUUGUACACUCAAAAUCUUAUCUGAUUUUGAAAGCUAAGAAGGAUCAGGCCAGGUUAGUACUUGGAUGGAAGACGACCCAGGAUCUCCAAGCAGGGCU
rnacentral:rRNA from 1 species